UUAAUGAGUCUGUUGCUGAAAAGGACAAUUCACCACAACUUGGCAGUUCCAUGGAGAAAGAUAACUUACCAUUGCCUGACAGACCUCCGAUGCAAAAAGGCCCCAACCAUCUGUGCCUGUCGAUGCUCGAAGCAAUCCGAGCAAGUGGGGCAGAUAGAAGUAGAAACAUCGCCUGGUAGGCAAGGCAUCUUUUGGAGACCCAAGAAUUUUUGUUAACGUUGCUGUAAAUGGACGGUUUCUUAUUAGUAUGCCUGUACGAGCGAUUCCUGUGCUUGAGCUUCGGCUCGUGGGCACUUACCGCCACAUCACUUGG